rnacentral:rRNA from 1 species
UAAGCAUAUCAAUAAGCGGAGGAAAAGAAACCAACCGGGAUUGCCUCAGUAACGGCGAGUGAAGCGGCAAGAGCUCAAAUUUGAAAGCUGGCUCCUUCGGGGUCCGCAUUGUAAUUUGCAGAGGAUGCUUCGGGUGCAGCCCCCGUCUAAGUGCCCUGGAACGGGCCGUCAUAGAGGGUGAGAAUCCCGUAUGGGGCGGGGUGUCUGCGUCCGUGUGAAGCUCCUUCGACGAGUCGAGUUGUUUGGGAAUGCAGCUCUAAAUGGGUGGUAAAUUUCAUCUAAAGCUAAAUACUGGCCGGAGACCGAUAGCGCACAAGUAGAGUGAUCGAAAGAUGAAAAGCACUUUGAAAAGAGAGUUAAACAGCACGUGAAAUUGUUGAAAGGGAAGCGCUUGCAACCAGACUCGCUCGCGGGGUUCAGCCGGGCUUCGGCCCGGUGUACUUCCCCGCGGGCGGGCCAGCGUCGGUUUGGGCGGCCGGUCAAAGGCCUCCGGAAUGUAGCGCCCUUCGGGGCGCCUUAUAGCCGGGGGUGCAAUGCGGCCAGCCUGGACCGAGGAACGCGCUUCGGCACGGACGCUGGCAUAAUGGUUGUAAACGACCCGUCUU